rnacentral:rRNA from 1 species
UUAAGUUAAUAAGGGCGCACGGUGGAUGCCUUGGCACUAGGAGCCGACGAAGGACGUGACAAACGACGAUAUGCCUUGGGUAGCUGUAAGUAAGCGAUGAUCCAGGGAUUUCCGAAUGGGGGAACCCAACAGGUAGUACCUGUUACCCACAUCUGUUAAGGAUGUGAGGAGGAAGACGCAGUGAACUGAAACAUCUAAGUAGCUGCAGGAAGAGAAAGCAAAAGCGAUUGCCUUAGUAGCGGCGAGCGAAACGGCAGAAGGGCAAACCGAAGAGUUUACUCUUCGGGGUUGUAGGACUGCAAUGUGGACUCAAAGAUUAUAGAAGAAUGAUUUGGGAAGAUCAGCCAAAGAGAGUAAUAGCCUCGUAUUUAAAAUAGUCUUUGUACCUAGCAGUAUCCUGAGUACGGCGGGACACGUGAAAUCCCGUCGGAAUCUGGGAGGACCAUCUCCGUAGACCCGAAACCAUGUGACCUACCCAUGAGCAGGUUGAAGGUGCGGUAAGACGCACUGGAGGACCGAACCAGGGCACGUUGAAAAGUGCUUGGAUGACUUGUGGGUAGCGGAGAAAUUCCAAACGAACUUGGAGAUAGCUGGUUCUCUCCGAAAUAGCUUUAGGGCUAGCGUCGACAUUAGAGAUUCUUGGAGGUAGAGCACUGUUUGGGUGAGGGGUCCAUCCCGGAUUACCAAUCUCAGAUAAACUCCGAAUGCCAAUGAAUUAUGGUCGGCAGUCAGACUGCGAGUGCUAAGAUCCGUAGUCGAAAGGGAAACAGCCCAGACCACCAGCUAAGGUCCCAAAAUAAUUGUUAAGUGGAAAAGGAUGUGGGGUUGCACAGACAACUAGGAUGUUAGCUUAGAAGCAGCUAUUCAUUCAAAGAGUGCGUAAUAGCUCACUAGUCGAGUGACCCUGCGCCGAAAAUGUACCGGGGCUAAAACAAUUUACCGAAGCUGUGGAUACCUUUAUAGGUAUGGUAGGAGAGCGUUCUAUGUGUGAUGAAGGUAUACCGUGAGGAGUGCUGGAACGCAUAGAAGUGAGAAUGCCGGUAUGAGUAGCGAAAGACAGGUGAGAAUCCUGUCCACCGUAAGACUAAGGUUUCCAGGGGAAGGCUCGUCCGCCCUGGGUUAGUCGGGACCUAAGGAGAGACCGAAAGGUGUAUCCGAUGGACAACAGGUUGAUAUUCCUGUACUAGAGUAUGUAGUGAUGGAGGGACGCAGUAGGCUAACUAAAGCAGACGAUUGGAAGAGUCUGUCUAAGCAGUGAGGUGUGAAUUGAGUCAAAUGCUUAAUUCUAUAACAUUGAGCUGUGAUGGGGAGCGAAGUUUAGUAGCGAAGUUAGUGACGUCACACUGCCAAGAAAAGCUUCUAGCGUUUAAACAUACUCUACCCGUACCGCAAACCGACACAGGUAGUCGAGGCGAGUAGCCUCAGGUGAGCGAGAGAACUCUCGUUAAGGAACUCGGCAAAAUGACCCCGUAACUUCGGGAGAAGGGGUGCUGACUUUAAGUCAGCCGCAGUGAAUAGGCCCAAGCAACUGUUUAUCAAAAACACAGCUCUCUGCUAAAUCGUAAGAUGAUGUAUAGGGGGUGACGCCUGCCCGGUGCUGGAAGGUUAAGAGGAGUGCUUAGCGUAAGCGAAGGUAUGAAUUGAAGCCCCAGUAAACGGCGGCCGUAACUAUAACGGUCCUAAGGUAGCGAAAUUCCUUGUCGGGUAAGUUCCGACCCGCACGAAAGGCGUAAUGAUUUGGGCACUGUCUCAACGAGAGACUCGGUGAAAUUUUAGUACCUGUGAAGAUGCAGGUUACCCGCGACAGGACGGAAAGACCCCAUGGAGCUUUACUGCAGUUUGAUAUUGAGUGUCUGUACCACAUGUACAGGAUAGGUAGGAGUCUAAGAGAUCGGGACGCCAGUUUCGAAGGAGACGCUGUUGGGAUACUACCCUUGUGUUAUGGCCACUCUAACCCAGAUAGGUGAUCCUAUCGGAGACAGUGUCUGACGGGCAGUUUGACUGGGGCGGUCGCCUCCUAAAAGGUAACGGAGGCGCCCAAAGGUUCCCUCAGAAUGGUUGGAAAUCAUUCGCAGAGUGUAAAGGUAUAAGGGAGCUUGACUGCGAGAGCUACAACUCGAGCAGGGACGAAAGUCGGGCUUAGUGAUCCGGUGGUUCCGUAUGGAAGGGCCAUCGCUCAACGGAUAAAAGCUACCCUGGGGAUAACAGGCUUAUCUCCCCCAAGAGUUCACAUCGACGGGGAGGUUUGGCACCUCGAUGUCGGCUCGUCGCAUCCUGGGGCUGUAGUCGGUCCCAAGGGUUGGGCUGUUCGCCCAUUAAAGCGGCACGCGAGCUGGGUUCAGAACGUCGUGAGACAGUUCGGUCCCUAUCCGUCGCGGGCGUAGGAAAUUUGAGAGGAUCUGCUCCUAGUACGAGAGGACCAGAGUGGACUUACCGCUGGUGUACCAGUUGUCUUGCCAAAGGCAUCGCUGGGUAGCUAUGUAGGGAAGGGAUAAACGCUGAAAGCAUCUAAGUGUGAAACCCACCUCAAGAUGAGAUUUCCCAUGAUUAUAUAUCAGUAAGAGCCCUGAGAGAUGAUCAGGUAGAUAGGUUAGAAGUUUUUUAUCGAGAAUAUGGUCGCUCAUUAAAAGGUCAGUUAAGAAGAGGCAAAGUAUCUGGAAGAA